UACGAAGGGGGCUAGCGUUGUUCGGAAUUACUGGGCGUAAAGCGCGCGCAGGCGGUCUUCCAAGUCAGUGGUGAAAGCCUGGAGCUCAACUCCAGAACUGCCAUUGAAACUGUUAGACUUGAGUACGAGAGAGGUGAGUGGAAUUCCCAGUGUAGAGGUGAAAUUCGUAGAUAUUGGGAAGAACACCGAUGGCGAAGGCAGCUCGCUGGGACGGUACUGACGCUGAGGCGCGAAAGCGUGGGGAGCAAACAGG
rnacentral:rRNA from 1 species